UUCUAGCGCCAGAACCUCUCAUUUGAUAUGAAGGUUGACGAGGAAAAGGGUUUUCGAAAAUUCGGCGGGUGCCCUUUCGUGUUUCCCAGCGCGUAUAUAUCGGCAAAUAUGUGGGAAACUACAAAACAAAAUCGAUAUAAU
rnacentral:ncRNA from 1 species